rnacentral:rRNA from 1 species
GACGAACGCUGGCGGCGUGCUUAACACAUGCAAGUCGAACGAUGAAGCUGGAGCUUGCUCCGGUGGAUUAGUGGCGAACGGGUGAGUAACACGUGAGCAAUCUGCCCUUGACUCUGGGAUAACUGCGGGAAACUGUAGCUAAUACCGGAUACUUUCACUGGAAGGCAUCUUCUGGUGAAGAAAGAAUUUCGGUCAAGUGUGAGCUCGCGGCCUAUCAGCUUGUUGGUGAGGUAACGGCUCACCAAGGCGACGACGGGUAGCCGGCCUGAGAGGGUGACCGGCCACACUGGGACUGAGACACGGCCCAGACUCCUACGGGAGGCAGCAGUGGGGAAUAUUGCACAAUGGGCGCAAGCCUGAUGCAGCAACGCCGCGUGAGGGAUGAAGGCCUUCGGGUUGUAAACCUCUUUUAGCAGGGAAGAAGCGAAAGUGACGGUACCUGCAGAAAAAGCACCGGCUAACUACGUGCCAGCCGCCGCAGUAA